GCUGUGAUGCUGGGCCAGGCGAGGUUUGCUGGAACCCUUUGCCUCUGGUUGCAGAUUCACUUCGUCACCGAGCAGAGGACGAGACUCUCCCUGCGAGCGGCUUCCCCCCGGCACCUAGCCAGGAGGUGCUGAAUGAGGGCCCGGAGCCCUGGGGCCAGCCAGAGCAAAGGCCCCGUGAGGAGCCCCCCGCUGAGUCCAGUUCAUCCUCAGAGGACAACUACUACAACAGCAGCACCACCAAGCAGCAACAGUGGGGCAACCCGGCCCCUCCUCCCACCGGCAGCCUCUUAAUGCCAGCGCCUCCUGCCCACAGCAAUGGUGGCUCCCAGCUCUCCUUCCAAGGGCCCGAUGGAGCAGACAGCUCCAGCACCUCAUCCGGAGAAUGGUAUGAAAACUUCCACAGCACAGCGCACCAGGGAGACCAGCCGGGAAACAUGCCGGAGUGGCCGGCUCUCUCCCAGCCGUUGGGGAGCUGUGAGCCUGGGAGCAACGACUCGGAGGGCAGCGAUUACGAUGAUGUCCAAGGCCUGGCAUACUAGGAAAGGGACAUCACUGCAAGUCUGUGCCUCCAGCCCUCCCUCCUGCCUUCAAUACAGUGACAGCAAAUCAGUGGGUGAUAACUGAACCUCACAUCCCUGCACUGAAUGUGUUUGAUUAGCACAAGGUCAGGCUUGGGGGGAAGGUUUGUCAGCGGGUCCCAGAACCAGGCCUGGACUGACCAGCAUUUCCCAGUGCAGACCCUGUGGCUCCAGAAGGGGCUGCACUCCUCUACCAACUGACAGCUCUGACCCUGAGAAAUCCACGGAGUCCUUCCCAAGAACAUCCCCUUCCCAGCCCACAUUCUCUGCUGAUGCCCAGCUAGCCCUGGUCACUCAGGCCGUAAGUGAACCCCUGGUGUCUGGGGAGUGUCCGGGACUCCAUCCUCAGUGCUCAGGACACAGGCCAAGCUCUCCAGGAUGGCUGCCAGGGUCAUGGGCUCUAUUCCCAGCCGGGAAAGGUGCUUGGACACACGGUGAUGGGCGCAGCACAGAGACCUAUCUGGAGCCCUAGGGAUGAUAAGGUGGAGGUCAGAAGUCGUAGGGGAGCAGCCAGACUUCUUGGCUCCCUUUCGGACAGUGACUUAUGGGGCUGGGUUCAAUCCUUGGUAUGUAGAUUCCCCAUGGCAAUAACCAGUCCCCAGUGAUUAACCUGCAGACAGGAACUGGGGUGCUCAGAUUCAAUGCACAGGGGGUAGCUCCCCCCCCAGGCCUCUGGCUUCAUCCCCACUGGGCAGAAGCAGCUAGGAAGGGAUGUUCCAUAGCUGGGUUCCAGCAAUGACUCUUUCCUGUCGGGGGAGACUGUACAUCACAGGCCAAGCAGCCUAUGAGAUCCAAGCCCCUGGCUUUGAGUGGAAGGUCAGCCUGUGGUUGAGGCAGUGCCUGACACUCAAGAAAGCUGGGUUCAUAGAAUCAUAGAAUAUCAGGGUUGGAAGGGACCUCAAGAGGUCAUCUAGUCCAACCCCCUGCUCAAAGCAGGACCAAUUCCCAAUUAAAUCAUCCCAGCCAGGGCUUUGUCAAGCCGGGCCUUAAAAACCUCCAAGGAAGGAGACUCCACCACCUCCCUAGAUAACGCAUUCCAGUGCUUC
ensembl:lncRNA